AGUGAUAUGACGGAGUGGUCUAACGUGCUAGGUUUAGGCCCUAGUUUCCUCGGAAGCGCGAGUUCGAAUCUCGCUAUCACUA